GCUCAGGAUGAACGCUGGCGGCGUGCUUAACACAUGCAAGUCGAACGAGGUCUUCGGACCAAGUGGCGGACGGGUGAGUAACGCGUGAGUAUCUGCCCAAAGGUGGGGGACAACCAUUGGAAACGAUGGCUAAUACCCCAUAUGCCGAGAGGUGAAAGGUUUACUGCCUUUGGAUGAGCUCGCGUCUGAUUAGCUAGAUGGUGGGGUAAUGGCUUACCAUGGCGACGAUCAGUAGCUGGUCUGAGAGGAUGAUCAGCCACACUGGGACUGAGACACGGCCCAGACUCCUACGGGAGGCAGCAGUGGGGAAUUUUCCGCAAUGGGCGAAAGCCUGACGGAGCAACGCCGCGUGAGGGAGGAAUGUCUUUGGAUUGUAAACCUCUUUUCUCAAGGAAGAUAAUGACGGUACUUGAGGAGUCAGCAUCGGCUAACUCCGUGCCAGCAGCCGCGGUAAUACGGGGGAUGCAAGCGUUAUCCGGAAUUAUUGGGCGUAAAGCGUCCGUAGGCGGCUAGAUAAGUCUGUUGUUAAAGCGUGCAGCUCAACUGCAUAUCGGCAAUGGAAACUAUUUAGCUAGAGUGUGGUAGGGGUAGAGGGAAUUCCCGGUGUAGCGGUGAAAUGCGUAGAUAUCGGGAAGAACACCAGUGGCGAAAGCGCUCUGCUGGGCCACAACUGACGCUGAUGGACGAAAGCUAGGGGAGCGAAAGGGAUUAGAUACCCCUGUAGUCCUAGCCGUAAACGAUGACACUAAGGUGUUGUCUGUAUCGACCCGGACAGUGCCGUAGCUAACGCGUUAAGUGUUCCGCCUGGGGAGUACGCACGCAAGUGUGAAACUCAA
rnacentral:rRNA from 1 species